AGAUCUCGAGUCAGUAUUUGUCCCCAGGGUCUACUGAUAACACCCAACUACACAACAGGCAACGAUAAACAGGUUAAACCAUGGUCCGUGUUGGGAGGAUCGGCUGUAGGCUGAACAGAUGGACUUCCAAAUGCCUACAACGCGUCCUGGUAUUGUGUUGUGUUGUGUUGUGUGCUGUAUAGAGGCCUACCCAUCCUCUCUGACCAACACAGCCUACCUGAUG